UCCAUUUUAACCCUGCAAUCGAAUACUAUAAAAUCGGAACAAUAUAGGGCAGAUUAUUAUGCCCCUUUAAGAAGAUGACACAAAUAAAUUUAGAAACUGUCAAAAUUUAC
rnacentral:snRNA from 1 species